UGAUGUGUUGUUUCCAGGCCACUCUGUGUGACCUUUCGACCCGUACGGGCGACUGCUGUGCACGGCUCUGUGUAUGCCCGCUUACUUGCCAGCGUAUAGAGCCCGCGUUCGAACUAUUGGUGGAAUCCAGGGCGAUGUCUGCUACGACAUCCUUGCAGUAAAUUGUUGUCUGGAGCUUGCGGUCUGUCAGAUGAUGAGGGAGUUGGAUGCCAUGGGACUGUAGAACGUCACAUGCACUGGCCUUUUUUUGGUGCCAUUCCAUUCGAAUCAGAUUUUAUUUAUAGUACAUGAAUUAUUAGAAAUUAAAACGUUUUCUAUGUCAAAAGAUGCAUGGAUUUUAUAAUGAGGAUGAAGCAGUCGUAUGAUUUAGAAUGUUUACUAAAGUGUUACUUAAUAUGAUGACAUUAAAAUCCUAUUGAUUCUUUUUA